AUACAUGCAGUCGAACGCUUCUUUUUCCACCGGAGCUUGCUCCACCGGAAAAAGAGGAGUGGCGAACGGGUGAGUAACACGUGGGUAACCUGCCCAUCAGAAGGGGAUAACACUUGGAAACAGGUGCUAAUACCGUAUAACAAUCAAAACCGCAUGGUUUUGAUUUGAAAGGCGCUUUCGGGUGUCGCUGAUGGAUGGACCCGCGGUGCAUUAGCUAGUUGGUGAGGUAACGGCUCACCAAGGCCACGAUGCAUAGCCGACCUGAGAGGGUGAUCGGCCACAUUGGGACUGAGACACGGCCCAAACUCCUACGGGAGGCAGCAGUAGGGAAUCUUCGGCAAUGGACGAAAGUCUGACCGAGCAACGCCGCGUGAGUGAAGAAGGUUUUCGGAUCGUAAAACUCUGUUGUUAGAGAAGAACAAGGAUGAGAGUAACUGUUCAUCCCUUGACGGUAUCUAACCAGAAAGCCACGGCUAACUACGUGCCAGCAGCCGCGGUAAUACGUAGGUGGCAAGCGUUGUCCGGAUUUAUUGGGCGUAAAGCGAGCGCAGGCGGUUUCUUAAGUCUGAUGUGAAAGCCCCCGGCUCAACCGGGGAGGGUCAUUGGAAACUGGGAGACUUGAGUGCAGAAGAGGAGAGUGGAAUUCCAUGUGUAGCGGUGAAAUGCGUAGAUAUAUGGAGGAACACCAGUGGCGAAGGCGGCUCUCUGGUCUGUAACUGACGCUGAGGCUCGAAAGCGUGGGGAGCAAACAGGAUUAGAUACCCUGGUAGUCCACGCCGUAAACGAUGAGUGCUAAGUGUUGGAGGGUUUCCGCCCUUCAGUGCUGCAGCUAACGCAUUAAGCACUCCGCCUGGGGAGUACGACCGCAAGGUU
rnacentral:rRNA from 1 species